rnacentral:rRNA from 1 species
AUCAACUUUCGAUGGUAGGAUAGAGGCCUACCAUGGUGGUAACGGGUAACGGGGUGUUAGGGCACGACACCGGAGAGGGAGCCUGAGAAACGGCUACCACAUCCAAGGAUGGCAGCAGGCGCGCAAAUUACCCAAUCCCGACACGGGGAGGUAGUGACAAUAAAUAACAAUACGGGGUUCUUUCGGAUUUCGUAAUUGGAAUGAGUACAAUUUAAAUCUCUUAACGAUCAACAAUUGGAGGGCAAGUCUGGUGCCAGCAGCCGCGGUAAUUCCAGCUCCAAUAGCGUAUAUUAAAGUUGUUGCAGUUAAAAAGCUCGUAGUUGAAUUUCGGGAUCAGUAGGUUGGUCAUGCCUCUGGUAUGCACUGGUCUCACUGGUUCCUCCUUCCUGAUGAACCGUAAUGCCAUUAAUUUGGUGUUGCGGGGAAACUGGACUGUUACUUUGAAAAAAUUAGAGUGUUUAAAGCGAGCUAACGCUUGAAUACAUUAGCAUGGAAUAAUGAAAUAGGACGAUCGAUCCUAUUUUGUUGGUUUCUAGGAUUGACGUAAUGAUUAAUAGGGAUAGUUGGGGGCAUUAGUAUUCAAUUGUCAGAGGUGAAAUUCUUGGAUUUAUUGAAGACUAACUACUGCGAAAGCAUUUGCCAAGGAUGUUUUCAUUAAUCAAGAACGAAAGUUAGGGGAUCGAAGACGAUCAGAUACCGUCGUAGUCUUAACCAUAAACUAUGCCGACUAGGGAUCGGAUGAUGUUAAUUUUUUAAUGACUCAUUCGGCGCCUUACGGGAAACCAAAGUGUUUGGGUUC